ACGCUAGCUACAGGCUUAACACAUGCAAGUCGAGGGCAGCGGGUUGAAAGCUUGCUUUCAAUGCCGGCGACCGGCGCACGGGUGCGUAACGCGUAUCAAACCUGCCUCAUACUCGGGGAUAGCCUUGCGAAAGUAAGAUUAAUACCCGAUGUUAUUAGUUCAUCGCAUGGUGGAUUAAUCAAAGAUUUAUCGGUAUGAGAUGGUGAUGCGUCCGAUUAGGUAGUAGGCGGGGUAACGGCCCACCUAGCCUUCGAUCGGUAGGGGUUCUGAGAGGAAGGUCCCCCACACUGGAACUGAGACACGGUCCAGACUCCUACGGGAGGCAGCAGUGAGGAAUAUUGGUCAAUGGGCGAGAGCCUGAACCAGCCAAGUAGCGUGCAGGAUGACGGCCCUCCGGGUUGUAAACUGCUUUUAGUUGGGAAUAAAAGAAGGGACUUGUCCCUUCUUGUAUGUACCUUCAGAAAAAGGACCGGCUAAUUCCGUGCCAGCAGCCGCGGUAAUACGGAAGGUCCAGGCGUUAUCCGGAUUUAUUGGGUUUAAAGGGAGCGUAGGCGGAUUGUUAAGUCAGCGGUUAAAGGGUGUGGCUCAACCUUGCAUUGCCGUUGAAACUGGCGAUCUUGAGUGCAGACAGGGAUGCCGGAAUUCGUGGUGUAGCGGUGAAAUGCUUAGAUAUCACGAAGAACUCCGAUCGCGAAGGCAGGUGUCCGGGCUGCAACUGACGCUGAGGCUCGAAAGUGUGGGUAUCAAACAGGAUUAGAUACCCUGGUAGUCCACACAGUAAACGAUGUAUACUCGCGGUUUGCGAUAGAUUGUAAGCCGCCAAGCGAAAGCAUUAAGUAUACCACCUGGGGAGUACGCCGGCAACGGUGAAACUCAAAGGAAUUGACGGGGGCCCGCACAAGCGGAGGAACAUGUGG
rnacentral:rRNA from 1 species